AUUGAACGCUGGCGGCAGGCCUAACACAUGCAAGUCGAACGGUAACAGGAAGAAGCUUGCUUCUUUGCUGACGAGUGGCGGACGGGUGAGUAAUGUCUGGGAAACUGCCUGAUGGAGGGGGAUAACUACUGGAAACGGUAGCUAAUACCGCAUAACGUCGCAAGACCAAAGAGGGGGACCUUCGGGCCUCUUGCCAUCGGAUGUGCCCAGAUGGGAUUAGCUAGUAGGUGGGGUAACGGCUCACCUAGGCGACGAUCCCUAGCUGGUCUGAGAGGAUGACCAGCCACACUGGAACUGAGACACGGUCCAGACUCCUACGGGAGGCAGCAGUGGGUAAUAUUGCACAAUGGGCGCAAGCCUGAUGCAGCCAUGCCGCGUGUAUGAAGAAGGCCUUCGGGUUGUAAAGUACUUUCAGCGGGGAGGAAGGGAGUAAAGUUAAUACCUUUACUCAUUGACGUUACCCGCAGAAGAAGCACCGGCUAACUCCGUG
rnacentral:rRNA from 1 species